GUCUACAGCCAUACCACCCUGAACACUCCCUGUCUCAUCUGAUCUCAGGCUCUAAGCAGGGUUGGGCCUGGUUAGUAUUCAUAUGGAAGCAAGCAGUGAUAUUUU
rnacentral:rRNA from 1 species